GAUGAAGAACGUAGCGAAAUGCGAUAAGUAAUGUGAAUUGCAGAAUUCAGUGAAUCAUCGAAUCUUUGAACGCAUCUUGCGCUCCUUGGUAUUCUGAGGAGCAUGCCUGUUUGAGUGUCAUUAAAUUCUCAACUACACUGACUUUGAAUUGGUGUGGCUUGGAUUUGGGGGGAAAAUUGUUGUGGGCUUUUUGUAUAGUCUGCUCCCCUGAAAUUGAUUAUCGGUACCUUUGUGGAACUGUCUACAGGUGUGAUAAUUAUCUACAUCUUAGACAUCUGCUGGAAUGCUGCUUUCUAAACCUUACUUGUAUUGACAAUCUUGACCUCAAAUCAGGUAGGACUACCCGCUGAACUUAAGCAUAUCAAUAAGCGGAGGA
rnacentral:misc_RNA from 1 species